rnacentral:rRNA from 2 species
AGAGUUUGAUCCUGGCUCAGGACGAACGCUGGCGGCGUGCCUAACACAUGCAAGUCGAGCGGGGGAAUGGAAUAAGGAAACUUAGGAAAUGACCUAGCGGCGGACGGGUGAGUAACACGUGGGUAACCUACCUUUAGCAGGGGGAUAACACCGGGAAACCGGUGCUAAUACCGCAUAAACCGUAUCAAGGACAUCCAUGAUACGGGAAAGGAGAGAUCCGGCAAAAGAUGGGCCCGCGUCCGAUUAGCUAGUUGGUGGGGUAAUAGCCUACCAAGGCGACGAUCGGUAGCCGGACUGAGAGGUUGAACGGCCACAUUGGGACUGAGACACGGCCCAGACUCCUACGGGAGGCAGCAGUGGGGAAUAUUGCGCAAUGGGGGGAACCCUGACGCAGCGACGCCGCGUGAAGGAAGAAGGUUUUCGGAUUGUAAACUUCUUUGGUCGGGGACGAAAAAAAUGACGGUACCCGACAAAAAAGCCACGGCUAACUACGUGCCAGCAGCCGCGGUAAUACGUAGGUGGCAAGCGUUGUCCGGAAUUACUGGGUGUAAAGGGCGCGUAGGCGGGUUUACAAGUCAGAUGUGAAAAUCCGGGGCUCAACCCCGGAAUUGCAACUGAAACUGUAUAUCUUGAGUGUUGGAGAGGGAAGUGGAAUUCCUAGUGUAGUGGUGAAAUGCGUAGAUAUUAGGAGGAACACCAGUGGCGAAGGCGACUUUCUGGCCAACAACUGACGCUGAGGCGCGAAAGCGUGGGGAGCAAACAGGAUUAGAUACCCUGUAGUCCACGCCGUAAACGAUGGAUACUAGGUGUAGGUGGUUACAAGCCAUCUGUGCCGGAGUUAACACAUUAAGUAUCCCACCUGGGGAGUACGGGCCGCAAGGUUGAAACUCAAAUGAAUUGACGG